GACGAACGCUGGCGGCGUGCUUAACACAUGCAAGUCGAACGGAAAGGCCCUGCUUGCAGGGACUUGAGGUGGGAACGGGGGGGGUAAACGGGGGGGGUUUGGCCUGCAACUUGGGAUUAGGCCGGGGAACUGGGGCUAAUACCGGAAUGGAGGCAAUUUUUGUGGGGAUGGUGGGAAGGUUUUUUGGGGUUGGGUUAACUCGCGGCCCUACAGCUUGGUGGUGGGGUAAUGGCCUUCCAAGGCGGGCACGGGUAGCCGGCCUGGGAGGGUGGACGGCCACAUUGGGACUGAGAUACGGCCCAGACUCCUACGGGAGGCAGCAGUGGGGAAUAUUGCACAAUGGGCGCAAGCCUGAUGCAGCGACGCCGCGUGGGGGAUGACGGCCUUCGGGUUGUAAACUCCUUUCGCUAGGGACGAAGCUUUUUGUGACGGUACCUAGAUAAGAAGCACCGGCUAACUACGUG
rnacentral:rRNA from 1 species